rnacentral:lncRNA from 1 species
UGCCAUCUGAGGAAGACCCGAGUCGUCCUGCACCGGACCGCGUCAGUGGCGUACGCGAGCCGUCGAACCGGGAGGGGAAACGACCGACGUGGAUGAAGGAUUACCAGGUCAAUUUCAAGGGUGGCUAAGCCAAUCUGGUCGAACCCAGGAGUUAUGGGGAAUUUUGCAAAAAAACUCUUUUUAUUUUAAGUAUUUACAUUUAAGUCCUGUUACAUUAAAAGACUAUCGUGAAUCUUUGUUCGGCAUCGAUUUUU